GACGGAGGGUGCUAGCGUUGUUCGGAAUCACUGGGCGUAAAGGGCGCGUAGGCGGCGCCGGCAGUCGGCCGUGAAAGCCCGGGGCUCAACCCCGGAGGUGCGGCCGAGACGCCGGUGCUGGAGGCCGGAAGAGGAGGGUGGAAUACCCAGUGUAGAGGUGAAAUUCGUAGAUAUUGGGUGGAACACCGGUGGCGAAAGCGGCUCUCUGGUCCGGACCUGACGCUGAGGCGCGAAAGCGUGGGGAGCAAACAGG
rnacentral:rRNA from 1 species